GUCGUCAACCCUUGCGACGAAAACAAGUUACGUUAUUUCACCUCUUGCGAAGAAAACACGCUCCAAGAUCACCACCCCAUUGGGAAAAAACUAAAUCACGACCCCCAAAUGGUAGUCUUCCCAUGCAGAUACAGGGAUGUCACACAGAUCCAAAUGGAAACAUCGAACACUGUAAAACCCACUGUGCAGACAGGACCAAUUGUGACGAUAUAAGACCAUGCCGAGCUUCAUGGACGGUUCAAACUCAUCCUGCCCAGGAACGGCUGAAAACGCUGACAGUCAAUCAACAGGGGGACAUGGAAAGAGAGGAUUGGAAGUGAAAUAGAGGGUUUUCCGGGACAGCCAUAGGGGAAGGUCUGUGGCAUCUUCAUGUUGAUGGUAGACUGAUAUGCCAACUCUGAGGAAGUGGUGGUGUAUAUUGCUAGCGGACAAUUUCAAACUUGGGUGCAUGAAAAGAGUUUGCCCAUUGGACAGAUGAGGCAAAAUCAUUACUGCAGGGUGAAGUGCCACCAGUCUAUCAGUUACAGAAGUGAAAUUUGAAUAUAAUUGCUGAGGAAGAGCUGCAACCACAGCUCCUUCAAGUUAGUGGUGGCCCACUCCAAGAAGAUAUGGUGGGAAAAAAUGAACAGUUUUGGUAAAAGGAUUGUGCAAGACAGCACAAAGCCUCGGACAGGGCUAGGGGGAAGAAAAAAAAUCAAUGCAGUAGGAGUUCCCAAGCAUCCUGCAGAUGGAAGAGGAUGAGCACGAACUACAAUGUCUUGGAGCCAUUCAAGUUCUGUUUCAACCAAUGUCUUGGAGCCAUUCAGGUUCUGUUUCAACCAUCUGGAAGACGGAUUUACC